AACGAACGCUGGCGGCGUGCCUAACACAUGCAAGUCGUGCGAGAAAGUUCCUUCGGGAGCGAGUAAAGCGGCGCACGGGUGAGUAACACGUAGGUAACCUGCCCCCCAGUCUGGAACAACUAGAGGAAACUCUAGCUAAUGCCGGAUGAGACCACGAUCCCUUCGGGGGUUGCGGCCAAAGAUGGCCUCUACUUGUAAGCUAUCGCUGAGGGAUGGGCCUGCGGCCAUUAGCUUGUUGGUGAGGUAACGGCUCACCAAGGCUGUGAUGGCUAGCUGGUCUGAGAGGAUGACCAGCCACACUGGGACUGAGACACGGCCCAGACUCCUACGGGAGGCAGCAGUGGGGAAUAUUGCGCAAUGGGCGAAAGCCUGACGCAGCGACGCCGCGUGGGUGAUGAAGGCCUGGUCGUAAAGGCCUCGUCGCAGGGAAGGAA
rnacentral:rRNA from 1 species